rnacentral:lncRNA from 1 species
AUGCACCAGGAAGGCCAGGAGCCACAGUGCCGGCCCGGGGCCCUGGUGCUUCCACUGUGCUGGACUGCAAGGGCUCGGGGGCUGGUGUAUGCGCCUCCACGCCUGAGUGUGCGCCUGUGCGAGAGUGUGUGGCGGGGACAGAGGAGGACACUGUGUUCCGGACGUGGGCAGCGGCCAGGUGCCAAGCUGGGAAUUGUCCCUUCCAUGGAGUAA